AGCGAACGCUGGCGGCAGGCCUAACACAUGCAAGUCGAACGAAGUCUUCGGACUUAGUGGCGGACGGGUGAGUAACACGUGGGAACGUGCCUUUAGGUUCGGAAUAACUCAGGGAAACUUGUGCUAAUACCGAAUGUGCCCUUCGGGGGAAAGAUUUAUCGCCUUUAGAGCGGCCCGCGUCUGAUUAACUAGUUGGUGAGGUAAAGGCUCACCAAGGCUACGAUCAGUAGCUGGUCUGAGAGGAUGACCAGCCACAUUGGGACUGGGACACGGCCCAAACUCCUACGGGAGGCAGCAGUGGGGAAUCUUGCGCAAUGGGCGAAAGCCUGACGCAGCCAUGCCGCGUGGAUGGUGAAGGUCUUAGGAUUGUAAAAUCCUUUCACCGGUGAAGAUAAUGACUGUAGCCGGAGAAGAAGCCCCGGCUAACUUCGUGCCAGCAGCCGCAGUAAUAC
rnacentral:rRNA from 1 species